CGGGAACAUUGCACAAUGGGGGAAACCCUGAUGCAGCCACGCCGCGUGAAGGAUGAAGGCUUUCGGAUUGUAAACUCCUCUAGUCAGGGACGAAUAAAUGACGGUACCUGAAGAAUAAGCCACGGCUAACUACGUGCCAGCAGCCGCGGUAAUACGUAGGUGGCGAGCGUUGUCCGGAAUUACUGGGUGUAAAGGGCGUGUAGGCGGGAAUGUAAGUCAGAUGUGAAAUCCCAGGGCUUAACUCUGGAGCUGCAUCUGAAACUGCUUUUCUUGAGUGAAGUAGAGGUUGGCGGAAUUCCUAGUGUAGCGGUGAAAUGCGUAGAUAUUAGGAGGAAAACCAGUGGCGAAGGCGGCCAAUUGGGCUUUUACUGACGCUGAGGCUCGAAAGCGUGGGGAGCAAACA
rnacentral:rRNA from 1 species